rnacentral:rRNA from 1 species
UACGUAGGGAGCAAGCGUUGUCCGGAAUCAUUGGGCGUAAAGCGCGCGUAGGCGGCCCGGUAAGUCCGUUGUGAAAGUCAAAGGCUCAACCUUUGAAUGCCGAUGGAUACUGCCGGGCUCGAGUCUGGAAGAGGAGAGCGGAAUUCCCGGUGUAGUGGUGGAAUGCGUAGAGAUCGGGAGGAACACCAGUGGCGAAAGCGGCUCUCUGGUCCAAAACUGACGCUGAGGGGCGAAAGCGUGGGGAGCGAACAGG